UACGUAGGGCGCAAGCGUUGUCCGGAAUUAUUGGGCGUAAAGAGCUCGUAGGCGGUUUGUCGCGUCUGCCGUGAAAAUCCGGGGCUCAACCCCGGACUUGCGGUGGGUACGGGCAGACUAGAGUGUGGUAGGGGAGACUGGAAUUCCUGGUGUAGCGGUGAAAUGCGCAGAUAUCAGGAGGAACACCGAUGGCGAAGGCAGGUCUCUGGGCCACUACUGACGCUGAGAAGCGAAAGCGUGGGGAGCGAACAGG
rnacentral:rRNA from 1 species